CGAGGGAUCAUUACCGAGUUUACAACUCCCAAACCCAAUGUGAACCAUACCAAACUGUUGCCUCGGCGGGGUCACGCCCCGGGUGCGUCGCAGCCCCGGAACCAGGCGCCCGCCGGAGGGACCAACCAAACUCUUUUCUGUAGUCCCCUCGCGGACGUUAUUUCUUACAGCUCUGAGCAAAAAUUCAAAAUGAAUCAAAACUUUCAACAACGGAUCUCUUGGUUCUGGCAUCGAUGAAGAACGCAGCGAAAUGCGAUAAGUAAUGUGAAUUGCAGAAUUCAGUGAAUCAUCGAAUCUUUGAACGCACAUUGCGCCCGCCAGUAUUCUGGCGGGCAUGCCUGUCCGAGCGUCAUUUCAACCCUCGAACCCCUCCGGGGGGUCGGCGUUGGGGAUCGGGAACCCCUAAGACGGGAUCCCGGCCCCGAAAUACAGUGGCGGUCUCGCCGCAGCCUCUCCUGCGCAGUAGUUUGCACAACUCGCACCGGGAGCGCGGCGCGUCCACGUCCGUAAAACACCCAACUUCUGAAAUGUUGACCUCGGAUCAGGUAGGAAUACCCGCUGAACUUAAGC
rnacentral:rRNA from 1 species